rnacentral:rRNA from 1 species
GAUGAACGCUGGCGGCGUGCCUAAUACAUGCAAGUCGAGCGAACGGACGAGAAGCUUGCUUCUCUGAUGUUAGCGGCGGACGGGUGAGUAACACGUGGAUAACCUACCUAUAAGACUGGGAUAACUUCGGGAAACCGGAGCUAAUACCGGAUAAUAUUUUGAACCGCAUGGUUCAAAAGUGAAAGACGGUCUUGCUGUCACUUAUAGAUGGAUCCGCGCUGCAUUAGCUAGUUGGUAAGGUAACGGCUUACCAAGGCAACGAUGCAUAGCCGACCUGAGAGGGUGAUCGGCCACACUGGAACUGAGACACGGUCCAGACUCCUACGGGAGGCAGCAGUAGGGAAUCUUCCGCAAUGGGCGAAAGCCUGACGGAGCAACGCCGCGUGAGUGAUGAAGGUCUUCGGAUCGUAAAACUCUGUUAUUAGGGAAGAACAUAUGUGUAAGUAACUGUGCACAUCUUGACGGUACCUAAUCAGAAAGCCACGGCUAACUACGUGCCAGCAGCCGCGGUAAUACGUAGGUGGCAAGCGUUAUCCGGAAUUAUUGGGCGUAAAGCGCACGUAGGCGGUUUUUUAAGUCUGAUGUGAAAGCCCACGGCUCAACCGUGGAGGGUCAUUGGAAACUGGAAAACUUGAGUGCAGAAGAGGAAAGUGGAAUUCCAUGUGUAGCGGUGAAAUGCGCAGAGAUAUGGAGGAACACCAGUGGCGAAGGCGACUUUCUGGUCUGUAACUGACGCUGAUGUGCGAAAGCGUGGGGAUCAAACAGGAUUAGAUACCCUGGUAGUCCACGCCGUAAACGAUGAGUGCUAAGUGUUAGGGGGUUUCCGCCCCUUAGUGCUGCAGCUAACGCAUUAAGCACUCCGCCUGGGGAGUACGACCGCAAGGUUGAAACUCAAAGGAAUUGACGGGGACCCGCACAAGCGGUGGAGCAUGUGGUUUAAUUCGAAGCAACGCGAAGAACCUUACCAAAUCUUGACAUCCUUUGACAACUCUAGAGAUAGAGCCUUCCCCUUCGGGGGACAAAGUGACAGGUGGUGCAUGGUUGUCGUCAGCUCGUGUCGUGAGAUGUUGGGUUAAGUCCCGCAACGAGCGCAACCCUUAAGCUUAGUUGCCAUCAUUAAGUUGGGCACUCUAAGUUGACUGCCGGUGACAAACCGGAGGAAGGUGGGGAUGACGUCAAAUCAUCAUGCCCCUUAUGAUUUGGGCUACACACGUGCUACAAUGGACAAUACAAAGGGCAGCGAAACCGCGAGGUCAAGCAAAUCCCAUAAAGUUGUUCUCAGUUCGGAUUGUAGUCUGCAACUCGACUACAUGAAGCUGGAAUCGCUAGUAAUCGUAGAUCAGCAUGCUACGGUGAAUACGUUCCCGGGUCU